UCUCCUACGGGACGCAGCAGUGAGGAAUAUUGGUCAAUGGGCGCAAGCCUGAACCAGCCAAGUCGCGUGAGGGAUGACGGUCCUAUGGAUUGUAAACCUCUUUUGUCGGGGAGCAAAGCGCGGUACGAGUACCGUGAAGGAGAGUACCCGAAGAAAAAGCAUCGGCUAACUCCGUGCCAGCAGCCGCGGUAAUACGGAGGAUGCGAGCGUUAUCCGGAUUUAUUGGGUUUAAAGGGUGCGCAGGCGGCACGGCAAGCCGGCGGUCAAAUCGCGGGGCUCAACCCCGCCCAGCCGUCGGAACUGCC
rnacentral:rRNA from 1 species